rnacentral:rRNA from 1 species
UACAGAGGGUGCGAGCGUUAAUCGGAAUUACUGGGCGUAAAGCGCACGUAGUCGGCUUUGCAAGUCGGGUGUGAAAUCCCCGGGCUCAACCUGGGAACUGCAUCCGAGACUGCAUUGCUAGAGUAUGGGAGAGGGAAGCGGAAUUUCUGGUGUAGCAGUGAAAUGCGUAGAUAUCAGAAGGAACAUCAGUGGCGAAGGCGGCUUCCUGGACCAAUACUGACGAUCGGGUGCGAAAGCGUGGGGAGCAAACAGG